rnacentral:lncRNA from 1 species
GACGGGCCGCGACGCCAGGGAAGGUCAGGCGGCCCGGGGCGUCCUGCGACUGCCCGAGGUCGGAGGCCCGGAGGACCCGCCGCCGCCUUUGUGUCACCAGCCCCCGCCCCGCUGGACUGGCCCGGGCCGGGGCGGUUGGGCCGGCGCUGAAGAGGCUUGGCCGCCCGGGUCCACCCGUUCCCGGAUCCGCCUCGGCGGCCCCCGCGCCCGCCCAACCCCUGCCCAACCCCUCGGCUCCGCGAGUUUGGGUGAGAAGUGCGGCGGCUUUUCCCAGGGAUGGAGUUUAGAGGACGCUAAUCCUAUGUGCGAGCGGCGGACCCCGCCCGGAUUUCCCGGAGGCGCCCGGUUAGUGAGGCGACGGCGCCCACCCGCGUUCGCGGGCUCCCGACCGCCACUCCCCGGAGCCGCCGGCCCGCCCCAGCCCCGCGCGUCGCCCCGGAGGGCGGGCUGCACUCCCUCCACGCACCUGGCUGGCAGAGCGUCUCCAGGGACAAAAGGUGCCCUGGCAUCAAAGCCGAGCCCCCGCCCCCGCCGGGAUGCUGCCCUCCGGAAGGAGGGGCGCUGCCCCCAAGGUACUCUCCCCGGGCACCCAGGGGGAGGUUCCAUUUCAACCUCCGAUGAAAAACACGGCCCUCCCGGGUAUUUAGGAGGGUCUGAGGGUAAGUGCCAAGAUGGAGAAAACACACCGGCCCCUCACAGAGUAUCUCCUGAGGAAUGACAACUAUCUAGUGGGCAAGGAGGGCUUCCUGCAUAGCAGAGGGCACCCCCUCUGAUCCCCCAACGCCAAGGGAAAAAAAUCACUCUUCACCGGCUCCCCUGAGCCAGGACAGGCUCCAGUGCAGCCACCCACCUUAUAAUUUUCCGCGGAUGCUGCCUUGAUCAGAUAGAUCUGAAGAUGACUUUAAGGACUACAAGCAAAUCUCAAGGGAAAAAUUCAGACCUUGAACAACAGCCUUGAACUUUUUCAGGGUUAGACAAGUACUCCCCUGUGGAGUUUCUGCCCUUAUUUCUUCGUUCUUCUGUUAAUUCUUCCAUAUUUUAACAGAACACAGACCUGCCGAAACGACACAGGAUGGCGCUUUGCUUUUUGUUAGUUCUCCAACCUUCCAAACCCUUGGGGCACAUGCAAGCACUGUGGAAAAACUCCAUUAAACCAAGAGUCAUCUUACUCCAGAUCCCAGACUGCUUGGGAAGUUGGACAUGCAUAUUCCCAAAGAGAACAGUGUUGGAAGGAGACAGGAGAGCAGCUCGGGGGUUGGGGGUAGAGGGUAGGAAAAGAGGGCAAGAUGGAUGACUACCACUCGAGGCCAGCCUCCACUGCCUGUUAGGGCAGUAGAACCUAAGAGCCGGUCCAAGGCAACACAAAAGACAGUGAGGCUAGGUCUUUCAUUGCAGCCAACGAUCAAGAAAGCAACUCCAUCAAAUGACACUGUCUUUUAAAAAAAAAUUUUUUUUUUGAGACAGAGUCUCGCUCUGUCGCCCAGGCUGGAGUGCAGUGGUGCGAUCUUGGCUCACUGCAACCUCUGCCACCCGGGUUCAAGCAGUUCUCCCUGCCUCAGCCUCCUGAGUAGCUGAGAUUACAGGCACGCGCUACCAGGCCCGGCUAAUUUUUUUUUUUUUUGGUGGAGUCGAGGUUUUGCCAUGUUGGCCACGUUGGUCUCGAAUUCCUGACCUCAGGUGAUCCGCCCAUCUCAGCCUCCCAAAGUGCUGGGAUUUCAAGCGUUAGCCACCGCGCCCGACCAAAUGACACUGUCUUAAAUGAUUUAAUGUCUUAAAUCGGGAAAGGAGAGUAAGAGAAAGCACUCAACGGAGUCAGAGGUGUCUUGCAGCCUAGCUCUUUCCACAGACAAGCUACAUGGGCCUAUCAUCUAACCUUUUCAAGCUUCUCCGACUGCUUCUGUGUUGGAGGGAUUUGGGCUAGAGGAUCUUUUUAUUUUUUUUUAUUUUAUUUUGGUGACGGAGUCUCUCACUGUCGCCCGGGCUGAAGUGCAGUGGCGCAAUCUCAGCUCACUGCAACCUCUUUCUCCUGGGUUCACGCGAUUCUCCUGCCUCAGCCUCCCAACUAGCUGGGAUUACAGGCGCACACCACCACACCUGGCCUAUUUUUUGUAUUUUUAGUAGAGACGGGGUUUCACUAUGUUGGCCAGACUGGUCUCGAACUCCUGACCUCGUGAUCUGCCCACCUCGGCCUCCCAAAGUGCUGUGAUUACAGGCAUGAGCCACCGCACCUGGCCUGUGAUCCCAUUUUUCAAAGUAAUUAGGCUGGGUGCAGUAGCUCACGCCUGUAAUCCCAGCACUCUGGGAGGCCAAAGCGGGUGGAUCACUUGAGGCCAGCAGUUCGAGACCAGCCUGGCCAACAUGGUGAAACCCUGUGUCUACUAAAAAUACAAAAAUUAGCUCGGCAUAGUGGCACGUACCUGUACUUUCAGCUACUUGGGAGGUUGAGGCAGGAGAAUUCGCUUGAACCCGGGAGGCAGAGGUUGCAGUGAGCCAAGAUGGCACCACUGCACUCCAUUCUGGGUGACAGAGUGAGACCCUGUCUCAAAAAUAAUGAUAAUAAAAUAAAAGUAAUUAUUUAAGGCUGGGAGCGGUGGCUCAUGCCUGUAAUCACAGCACUUUGGGAGGCCGAGGUGGGUGGAUCAUGAGGUCAGGAGGUCGAGACCAUCCUGUCUAACACAGUGAAACCCUGUCUCUACUAAAAAUACAAAAAAAUUAGCCAGGCAUGGUGGCGGGCGCCUGUAGUCCCAGCUACUCGGGAGGCUGAGGCAGGAGAAUCGCUUGAACCCAGAAGGCGGAGGUUGCAGUAAGCCGAGAUCACACCACUGCACUCCAGCCUGGGUGACAGAGCGAGACUCCGUCUCAAAAAAAAUUAUUAUUAUUAUUUAAAAUAAUCAUUGGGCCUGGUGCGGUGGCUCACACCUGUAAUCCUAGCACUUUGGGAGGCCAAGGCGGGCGGAUCACGAGGUCAGGAGAUUGAGAUCCAACCUGGCCAACAUGGUGAAACCCCAUCUCUACUAAAAAUAUUUUUUUAAUUAGCUGGGCGUGGCGGCGGGCACCUGUAAUCCCAGCUAGUCGGGAGACUGAGGCAGGAGAAUCGCUUGAACCUGGGAGUCGAAGGUUUCAGUGAGCCGAGGUCGUGCCACUGCAAUCCACCUGGCCAACAGAGCAAGACUCUGUCUCUAAAAUAAUAAUUUUUAUUAUUGUUAUUCUUGACAGGCCAGUGUAGAACAGGUGGGGCAUCUAUGGUGACAGAACUGGGUUCCAAUUCUGUCCCUUCACCUGUCCCAGGUUCCUCAUCUGAAAACUGUGACCCAGUAAACCUAAUUUCAUGAGCAGCUUUCAUUAAAAUUGAAAUAAUGGUGGAAAAUGCCUUGUAACCGUGCUUGAUGUAGAGUAGUUACUUAGCCAGUUAUUUCCUCUCUUCUUCCCAUUCCUAACAAAAUGGAAAAACGUUUGGUUGCUAGGAAAGAGCCUUAAGGGGAUUUUGUUGUUGUUUGACUCUAUCGCCCAGGAUGGAGUGCAAUGGCACAAUCUCUGCUCAGUGCAACCUCCGCCAUAGACAGGAGCCAAGCGUAGUGGUGUGCACCUGUCGGUAGUUCCAGCCUCUUAGGAGGCUGAGGCAGGAGGAUUGCUUGAGGCCAGGAGUUUGAGUCUAGCUUGGGCAAUAUAUUGAAACCUUGUCUCUUAAAAAAAAAAAAAAAAAAGAGGCCAGGUGUGGUGGCUCACACCUGUAAUCCCAGCACAUUGGGAGGCCGAGGCAGUGGAUCACUUGACACCAGGAGUUCGAGACCAGCCUGGGCAACAUGCAAACUUAUGUCUUUUAGGCCGGGCGCGGUGGCUCACACCUGUAAUACCAGCACUUUGGUAGGCCGAGGCGGGCAGAUCACGAGGUCAGGAGAUCGAGACCAUCCUGGCUAAGAUGAAACCCAGUCUCUACUAAAAAUAAAAAAAAAUUAGCCGGGUGUGGUGGCUGGCGCCUGUAGUCCCGGCUACUUGGGAGGCUGAGGCAGGAGAAUGGCAUGAACCCAGGAGGUGGAGUUUGCAGUAAGCCAAGACAGCACCACUGCACUCCAGCCCAGGCAACAGAGCUAGACGCCCUCUCAAAAAAAAAAAAAAAUUACAUCUUUAAAAAAAAAUGCAGGGCCGGGUGCGGUGGCUCAUGCCUGUAAUCCCAGCACUUUGGGAGGCCGAGGCGGGCGAAUCACGAGGUCAGGAGAUCGAGAGCAUCCUGGCUAACACAGUGAAACCCUGUCUCUAGUAAAAAUACAAAAAAUUAGCCAGGCGUGGCAGCAUGCGUCUGUAGUCCCAGCUGCUGGGGAGGCUGAGGCAGGAGAAUGGCGUGAACCCAGGAGGCAGAGCUUGCAGUGAGCCAAGGUCCCGCCACUGCACUCCAGCCUGGGCGACAGAGCGAGACUCGGUCUCAAAAAAUAAUAAUUAACAAAAAAAAAAAAAUACAAAAGUUAGUUGCACAUGUUGCCAUAUGCUCGUGGUCCCAGCUACUCAGCAGGCUGAGGUUGGGAGAUCACUUGAGCCCAGAAGGUGGAGGUUGCAGUGAGCUGAGAACCCACCAUUGUACUCCAGCCUGCGUGUCAGUGAGAUUCUGUCUCAAAAAAAAAAAGAAAAGAAAAAAAAUCUAGGCUAUGCUCCCUAGUAUGGGAAAUCUAGUCUAGUCAUUUGACAGAAUCAGGCUUUGCAGGCCAUAUUGUCUCUGUCGUAACUACCAACUCUGCUGGUUAAAAGGGAAGUAGCCACAAACAAUAUCUGAAUGAUGGAUUAUGGCUGUGUUCCAAUAAAACUUUAUUUGCAAAAACAGGUUGCUGGUUGCAAGGUAGUUUUCCAACCUCUACGUGAUUCUCAGACUUUAGGUUGCAUCAUAAUCACCUGGAGGGCUUGUUCAAACGCAGAUUGCUGGGCCCCACCCCCAGAAUUUUUGAUUCAGCCAGUCUGGGGUGGGGCUGAUAUUUGUAUUUCUACCAACUUUCCAGGUGAGGCUGGCUGAUGAUGGUCUGGAAACCACUUUGAAAACCUCUGAAGCUUUUCUCAACUCCCUUCUUUGUGUACCUAAAACACUUUAUCCCUACUGUAGAUGUAGCAUUAGCGUGUUAUAUUAGUUUAGUGAUUGGUGUGUGGGUCUCUGGGAGCCUUUCUGAAUCACCUCCCUAGCCUAGUGCCUGACAAUAGCAAUUUGCUCCCCAUUCAUUGACUGAACUGAAACCGGAGGGUCAUGGUCAUCAUCAUUGUUCCAAGCCAUAGAUAGAAGAUGAAGUCACCACCCCUGAUCUCAGAGCUCAUCAGAGUAGAGCUUGGGCUGGACCCUGCCCUUCUCUGCAGUGAGCAGUUUUCUCUGUGGAGCUCUGUGCAACCUGGAGCCAGUCCUGCCUGGGGUAAGAGGAAAAAAGACUCCUUCCCCCCAGCCCCACAGCCUGUACGCAAACACACCGGGAGACAUGACCUGCUCAGAGGAGACCUGGAACCAAGGGAAUAAAAUGAGAGUGGGUUGGGGGCUGCUGUUAGUUAUUUUUUGCUUGUAAGUGGACAAUUUGUGGUGUGGUGUGUGAAUUUGGGGUCUUAAAUCCAGAUAGCUGUCUGCUGUGGACAGCCACUGUUUCUGAAUUACAGGGCAUUUCAAGUGACCUGUGGUCAGGAUGUUUUCUCAGAUCAGGCAAAAUCAAUUGGUCCUGAUAAUAACCAGGGGAGUUGUACUUUCCCUAUCUUGAGUAGAAGAAGCCACAGCUCCCGGGUCCACCUGCCUCUCCUGACUGCCCACCUCCUGGCUUUUUCUUUUUCUUUUUUUUUUUUUUUUUUUUGAGACGGGGUCUUGCUCCAUUGCCUAGGCUGGAGUGCAGUGGUGCGAUCUCAGCUCACUGCAACCUGGGCCUCCUGGGUUCAAGAGAUUCUCCUGCUUCAGCCUAGCGAGGAGCUGGGAUUACAGACGCGCGCCACCUCGCCCAGCUAAUUUUUUUAUAUUUUUAGUAGAGACGGGGUUUCACCGUGUUAGCCAGGAUGCUCUCGAUCUCCCGACCUCGUGAUCUGCCCGCCUCGGCCUCCCAAAGUGCUGGGAUUACAGGUGUGAGCCACCGUGCCCGGCCGGCCUCCUGGCUUUUAUCCUGGGGGCACUGCAAGUAGAGCCAGGCAUGUGGCCCAUGCAUCCUUCCCAGCCUCUUUCCUGCUGGGCAUGGAGGAGGAGGCACUGCCAGGAGCUCCCCACAGACAGGCGCUGCUUACUGAUGGGUUGGCUGCAAACUGUAGGCAUAACAGUUACCUUCCUCUUCACAACCCCCAGGCCUGACGAGGCUUACAUGGGAAUUGCUUUGAUUUGUGAAGUCUUAAGACUAUACUGCUGGGCGAGGUGGCUCAAGCCGGUAAUCCCAGCACUUUGGGAGGCUGAGGCGGGCGGAUCACGAGGUCAGGAGAUCAAGACCAUCCUGGCUAACACAGUGAAACCCUGUCUCUACUAAAAACACAAAAAAUUAGCCGGACAUGGUGGGGGGGUGCCUGUAGUCCCAGCUACUUGGGAGGCUGAGGCAGGAGAAUGGCACGAACCCGGGAGGCAGAACUUGCAGUGAGCCGAAAUCACACCACUGCACUCUGCACUCCAGCCUGGGUGACAGAGCGAGACUCUGUCUUAAAAAAAAAAAAAAAAAGACUAUACUACCUAAUCUUCCAUGCCUCGCUCUUUCCACAUUAAUAGACAAAACCAGGAAAAAGGACUGCUUCCCCUCCAGCUCUUGAUUGGGCUCCAUAAGAACUGCCAAAAGGCCAGGCAGCAUUUGCUACUCUUCUGGGGUUCACUUCUGAAAGGUGCGACCCUGCAACCUAGAGCACAGGGAAGUUAGGACAGCAAAGGAGCUGGGCUGAGCCGACGCUGGCUUAGAACUCUUUCUGAUACUCCCUGUUCCCGCCAGCUCGUUAGCCCAGCCUGCCAAUCAGUUUUGCAUCAAUAAACUUUAUGUUCUGAGGUUGGCCAGAUGAAUGAGAGGAGAGCAGCUAAAGACUGAUCUCUGACCUUGGCACGUAAACAGCCUCCAGAUUGGACUUGACAGUUAAUAAAGGAAAGGCCCUGCAA